rnacentral:rRNA from 1 species
GGUCAGGAUGAACGCUAGCUACAGGCUUAACACAUGCAAGUCGAGGGGCAGCAUUGGAGUAGCAAUACUUCAGAUGGCGACCGGCGCACGGGUGAGUAACACGUAUCCAACCUGACCGCUUACUCGGGGAUAGCCUUUCGAAAGAAAGAUUAAUACCCGAUGGUAUAAAGAGUUCGCAUGUUCUCUUUAUUAAAGAAUUUCGGUAAGCGAUGGGGAUGCGUUCCAUUAGAUAGUUGGCGGGGUAACGGCCCACCAAGUCUACGAUGGAUAGGGGUUCUGAGAGGAAGGUCCCCCACAUUGGAACUGAGACACGGUCCAAACUCCUACGGGAGGCAGCAGUGAGGAAUAUUGGUCAAUGGACGAGAGUCUGGAACCAGCCAAGUAGCGUGAAGGAUGACUGCCCUAUGGGUUGUAAACUUCUUUUAUAAGGGAAUAAAGUGAGGGACGUGUCCCUUUUUGUAUGUACCUUAUGAAUAAGGAUCGGCUAACUCCGUGCCAGCCGCUGC